GAGGCUUGAGCAUGGGAAUACUACAAGAAACUGCAUGUUUAACAACAGUUUCUUAUCUUUUUUAACAGUGGAUAGUCUGCUGUUAGAAAUCCUAAUGGCAGAUAGAAAUCCGCCGUUAGGUUAAGUAAUGGUAAAUAAGCUAACGACGGAUUUUUAUCUGCUGUUAAACUAACAACGUAUUUUAUUCCCUGUUAAAGCUAACAACGGAUAAAAUCAGUCGUUAAACUUUUCGUCCAAUAAUAAAAAAACGUAGAAACCCAGCUAGGUUUCUGUGUUCAUCAUUCAUCGUUCUUCGUUCAUCGUUCACCAUUCUUCAUUUUUCCAGUCAUUUUCUUCUUCUUCGAUUCUUCUUUUUCUUCUACUUUGAUUCUUCUCCUUCUUCUUCAAUUUUUCUUUUUCUUCAUCUUCGAUUCUUUUUCUUCUUCUUUUUCUUCUUCUUCUUCUUCUUUGAUUCUUUUUUGAAUCUUUUUUUUCCGAUUCUUCUUCGAUUCCUCUUCUUCUUAUUUGAUUCUUCAAUUCUUCUUCUU
rnacentral:lncRNA from 1 species